GAAAAUGGUGAAGUUCUCAAAGGAGCUUGAAGCUCAACUCAUCCCAGAAUGGAAAGAAGCUUUUGUUAACUACUGGCAACUCAAGAAACAGAUAAAGAAGAUCAAACUAUCAAGGAAACCAAAACAACCCCAACAACCUAACCAUGACUUUGGUCUCUCCAUUUUCCAAAUCAUUCGAUUCUUCGCUUACAAAUUCUCCAACAAUUUCUUCAGCUCCGAUACCAAAACUGAGAUCAUCCAGGUGAGAUGCAAAACCAUGGAGGAUGGUAAUGAUGAUAAUGAAGAAAUCUACCAAACUGAGCUUCUUCAGUUGUUCUUAGAGG
rnacentral:misc_RNA from 1 species